UACAGAGGGGGCAAGCGUUGUUCGGAAUUACUGGGCGUAAAGGGCGCGUAGGCGGCCUUCUAAGUCGAACGUGAAAUCCCCGGGCUCAACCCGGGAACUGCGUCCGAGACUGAAAGGCUUGAAUCCGGGAGAGGGAUGUGGAAUUCCAGGUGUAGCGGUGAAAUGCGUAGAUAUCUGGAGGAACACCGGUGGCGAAGGCGGCAUCCUGGACCGACACUGACACUGAGGAGCGAAAGCCAGGGGAGCAAACGGG
rnacentral:rRNA from 1 species